rnacentral:rRNA from 1 species
CUUGGUCAUUUAGAGGAAGUAAAAGUCGUAACAAGGUUUCCGUAGGUGAACCUGCGGAAGGAUCAUUAAAGAAUUGCCCCAUUUUUUGAAAUGGGUUCUAUUCCCAAACCGUGUAUACAUACCUUUGUUGCUUUGGCAAGCCGUCCUUCGGGCGCAGCUUCGGCUGAGAGCGCUUGCCAGAGGACCCCAACUCUUUUGUUUAGUGAUGUCUGAGUACUAUAUAAUAGUUAAAACUUUCAACAACGGAUCUCUUGGUUCUGGCAACGAUGAAGAACGCAGCGAAAUGCGAUAAGUAAUGUGAAUUGCAGAAUUCAGUGAAUCAUCGAAUCUUUGAACGCACAUUGCGCCCCUUGGUAUUCCGAGGGGCAUGCCUGUUCGAGCGUCAUUAUGACCACUCAAGCCUAGCUUGGUAUUGGGGUUCGCGGUCUCGCGGCUCUUAAAAUCAGUGGCGGUGCCAUCUGGCUCUAAGCGUAGUAAUUCUCUCGCUAUAGGGCUCCGGUAGUUGCUUGCCAAAACCCCCCUAUUUCUCACGGUUGACCUCGGAUCAGGUAGGGAUACCCGCUGAACUUAAGCAUAUCAAUAAGCGGAGGA